AGCGAACGCUGGCGGCAGGCCUAACACAUGCAAGUCGAACGAACUCUUCGGAGUUAGUGGCGGACGGGUGAGUAACACGUGGGAACGUGCCUUUUGGUUCGGAAUAACUCAGGGAAACUUGUGCUAAUACCGAAUGUGCCCUUCGGGGGAAAGAUUUAUCGCCAUUAGAGCGGCCCGCGUCUGAUUAGCUAGUUGGUGAGGUAACGGCUCACCAAGGCGACGAUCAGUAGCUGGUCUGAGAGGAUGACCAGCCACACUGGGACUGAGACACGGCCCAGACUCCUACGGAGGCAGCAGUGGGGAAUCUUGCGCAAUGGGCGAAAGCCUGACGCAGCCAUGCCGCGUGAAUGAUGAAGGUCUUAGGAUUGUAAAAUUCUUUCACCGGGGACGAUAAUGACGGUACCCGGAGAAGAAGCCCCGGCUAACUUCGUG
rnacentral:rRNA from 1 species